rnacentral:rRNA from 1 species
UGCCUACGGGUGGCUGCAGUAAGGAAUAUUGGUCAAUGGAGGCAACUCUGAACCAGCCAUGCCGCGUGCAGGAAGACGGCCCUAUGGGUUGUAAACUGCUUUUGUACCAGAGAAAACCCUCUUACGUGUAGGAGGUUGAUAGUAUGGUAAGAAUAAGCAUCGGCUAACUUCGUGCCAGCAGCCGCGGUAAGACGAAGGAUGCAAGCGUUAUCCGGAUUCAUUGGGUUUAAAGGGUGCGUAGGCGGACCUGUAAGUCAGUGGUGAAAUCUCUCAGCUUAACUGAGAAACUGCCAUUGAUACUGCAGGUCUAGAGUAUAGAUGACGUUGGCGGAAUAUGACAUGUAGUGGUGAAAUACUUAGAUAUGUCAUAGAACACCGAUUGCGAAGGCAGCUAACGAAACUAUAACUGACGCUGAGGCACGAAAGUGCGGGGAUCAAACAGGAUUAGAUACCCCGGUAGUCA